CCUACGGGAGGCAGCAGUGAGGAAUAUUGGUCAAUGGGCGCGAGCCUGAACCAGCCAAGUAGCGUGAAGGAUGACUGCCCUACGGGUUGUAAACUUCUUUUAUAAAGGAAUAAAGUGAGGCACGUGUGCCUUUUUGUAUGUACUUUAUGAAUAAGGAUCGGCUAACUCCGUGCCAGCAGCCGCGGUAAUACGGAGGAUGCGAGCGUUAUCCGGAUUUAUUGGGUUUAAAGGGUGCGUAGGCGGAUCGUUAAGUCAGUGGUCAAAUUGAGGGGCUCAACCCCUUCCCGCCAUUGAAACUGGCGCUCUUGAGUGGAAGAGAAGUAUGCGGAAUGCGUGGUGUAGCGGUGAAAUGCAUAGAUAUCACGCAGAACCCCGAUUGCGAAGGCAGCAUGCCGGCUUCCGACUGACGCUGAAGCACGAAAGCGUGGGGAUCGAACAGGAUUAGAUACCCCUGUAGUC
rnacentral:rRNA from 1 species